GUGGGAGGCUCGACAUCUUCUGCAGUCGAACGGUGAAGCCAAGCUUGCUUGGUGGAUCAGUGGCGAACGGGUGAGUAACACGUGAGCAACCUGCCCUGGACUCUGGGAUAAGCGCUGGAAACGGCGUCUAAUACUGGAUAUGAGCUCUCAUCGCAUGGUGGGGGUUGGAAAGAUUUUUUGGUCUGGGAUGGGCUCGCGGCCUAUCAGCUUGUUGGUGAGGUAAUGGCUCACCAAGGCGUCGACGGGUAGCCGGCCUGAGAGGGUGACCGGCCACACUGGGACUGAGACACGGCCCAGACUCCUACGGGAGGCAGCAGUGGGGAAUAUUGCACAAUGGGCGGAAGCCUGAUGCAGCAACGCCGCGUGAGGGAUGACGGCCUUCGGGUUGUAAACCUCUUUUAGCAGGGAAGAAGCGAGAGUGACGGUACCUGCAGAAAAAGCGCCGGCUAACUACGUGCCAGCAGCCGCGGUAAUACGUAGGGCGCAAGCGUUAUCCGGAAUUAUUGGGCGUAAAGAGCUCGUAGGCGGUUUGUCGCGUCUGCUGUGAAAUCCCGAGGCUCAACCUCGGGCCUGCAGUGGGUACGGGCAGACUAGAGUGCGGUAGGGGAGAUUGGAAUUCCUGGUGUAGCGGUGGAAUGCGCAGAUAUCAGGAGGAACACCGAUGGCGAAGGCAGAUCUCUGGGCCGUAACUGACGCUGAGGAGCGAAAGGGUGGGGAGCAAACAGGCUUAGAUACCCUGGUAGUCCACCCCGUAAACGUUGGGAACUAGUUGUGGGGACCAUUCCACGGUUUCCGUGACG
rnacentral:rRNA from 1 species